UCACUCUGGUCUCUCUUCAACUUCAAAUAAAUCUUUCGCCUUUUACUAAAGAUUUCUGUUUAGAGGGGCACACCAAGGAGUCUAACAUGAAAUUUUUUCACGUCCGGCCUUACCAGGCU